rnacentral:rRNA from 1 species
GACGGAGGAUGCAAGCGUUAUCCGGAAUGAUUGGGCGUAAAGCGUCCGCAGGUGGCAGUUCAAGGCUGCUGUCAAAAACCGGGGCUUAGCUUCGGAAAGGCAGUGGAAACUGAACAGCUAGAGUAUGGUAGGGGCAGAGGGAAUUCCUGGUGUAGCGGUGAAAUGCGUAGAGAUCAGGAAGAACAUCGGUGGCGAAGGCGCUCUGCUGGACCAUAACUGACACUCAGGGACGAAAGCUAGGGGAGCGAAUGGG